rnacentral:tRNA from 1 species
GCCGCCGUAGCUCAGCUGGGAGAGCGCCCGGCUGAAGACCGGGUUGUCGGGGGUUCAAGUCCCCCCGGCGGCGCCA